UACAGAGGUCCCGAGCGUUGUUCGGAUUUAUUGGGCGUAAAGGGUGCGUAGGCGGCGGAGUAAGUUGGGUGUGAAAUCCCGAGGCUCAACCUCGGAAUUGCAUUCAAUACUGCUUCGCUCGAGUACUGGAGAGGAGGCUGGAAUUUACGGUGUAGCAGUGAAAUGCGUAGAUAUCGUGAAGAACACCAGAGGCGAAGGCGGCUACCUGGACAAUUGCUGACGCUCAGGCACGAAAGCGUGGGGAGCAAAAGGG
rnacentral:rRNA from 1 species